rnacentral:rRNA from 1 species
CCUACGGGUGGCAGCAGUGGGGAAUAUUGCACAAUGGGGGAAACCCUGAUGCAGCAACGCCGCGUGAGUGAGGAAGUAUUUCGGUAUGUAAAGCUCUAUCAGCAGGGAAGAGAAAAGAAGGUACCUGAAAAAGAAGCCCCGGCUAACUACGUGCCAGCAGCCGCGGUAAUACGAAGGGGGCAAGCGUUAUCCGGAUUUACUGGGUGUAAAGGGGGCGUAGAGGGAAAGGCAAGUCAGAAGGGAAAGCCCAAGGCCCAACCAUGGGACUGCUUUUGAAACUGGCCAACUAGAGUAAGGGAGAGGUAAGAGGAAUUCGUAGUGUAGCGGUGAAAUGCGUAGAUAUUAGGAGGAACACCAGUGGCGAAGGCGUCUUACUGGACCGAAACUGACGUUGAGGCUCGAAAGCGUGGGGAGCAAACAGGAUUAGAUACCCGGGUAGUC